CGUUGAAACACCAGUACCCGUAUGAUCACAGAAUUUAAGCAAUGUCGAGCCUGGUUAGUACCUAGAUGGGUGACCACUUUGGAAGAGCAGUUGCUGUAAG